UUCAGACUUGACUAGGACUCCAGCGAUAAAGACUUCAGACUUGACUAGGACUCCAGCGAUAAAGACUUCAGACUUGACUAGGACUCCAGCGAUAAAGAUUUCAGACUUCACUCAGACUCUAGCGAUAAAGACUUCAGACUUGACUAAGACUCCAACGAUAAAGACUUCAGACUUGACUAGGACUCCAGCAAAAAGACUUCAGACUUGACUAGGACUCCAGCAAAAAGACUUCAGACUUGACUAGGACUCCAGCAAAAAGACUUCAGACUUGACUAGCACUCUAGGUUAGACACUUCAGACUUGACUAGGACUUCAGCGAUAAAGACUUCAGACUUUACUCAGACUCUAGCGAUAAAGACUUCAGACUUUACUCAGACUCUAGCGAUAAAGACUUCAGACUUUACUCAGAC